AGCGUACACGGUGGAUGCCUUGGCAGCCAGAGGCGAUGAAGGACGUAGUAGCCUGCGAUAAGCUUCGGGGAGUCGGCAAACAGACUUUGAUCCGGAGAUUUCCGAAUGGGGAAACCCACCUGUCAUAAGGCAGGUAUCACAUACUGAAUCCAUAGGUAUGUGAGGCGAACGCGGGGAACUGAAACAUCUAAGUACCCGUAGGAACAGAAAUCAAUUGAGAUUCCGUUAGUAGCGGCGAGCGAACGCGGAUUAGCCCUUAAGCUUGUGAAUGAUUAGGAGAACGGUCUGGGAAGGCCGGCCAUAGUGGGUGAUAGCCCCGUAUCCGAAAGUCUGAUCAAGUGAAAUCGAGUAGGUCGGAGCACGUGAAACUUUGACUGAAUGUGGGGGGACCAUCCUCCAAGGCUAAAUACUCCUGGCUGACCGAUAGUGAACCAGUACCGUGAGGGAAAGGCGAAAAGAACCCCGGAGAGGGGAGUGAAAUAGAACCUGAAACCGUGUACGUACAAGCAGUCGGAGCCUCCAUGUGGGGUGACGGCGUACCUUUUGUAUAAUGGGUCAGCGACUUAAUUUCAGUAGCGAGGUUAACCGUUUAGGGGAGCCGUAGGGAAACCGAGUCUUAAUAGGGCGUUUAGUUGCUGGGAUUAGACCCGAAACCGGGCGAUCUAUCCAUGGGCAGGUUGAAGAUGCGGUAACACGCAUUGGAGGACCGAACCGACUACCGUUGAAAAGUUAGCGGAUGACCUGUGGAUCGGAGUGAAAGGCUAAUCAAGCUCGGAGAUAGCUGGUUCUCCCCGAAAGCUAUUUAGGUAGCGCCUCGGACGAAUACCACUGGGGGUAGAGCACUGUUAAGGCUAGGGGGUCAUCCCGACUUACCAACCCUUUGCAAACUCCGAAUACCAGUGAGUACUAUCCGGGAGACACACGGCGGGUGCUAACGUCCGUCGUGAAGAGGGAAACAACCCAGACCGCCAGCUAAGGUCCCCAAAUUCCAGUUAAGUGGGAAACGAUGUGGGAAGGCUCAGACAGCUAGGAGGUUGGCUUAGAAGCAGCCACCCUUUAAAGAAAGCGUAAUAGCUCACUAGUCGAGUCGGCCUGCGCGGAAGAUGUAACGGGGCUCAAACUGGUUACCGAAGCUGCGGCUGUGCACGCAAGUGCACGGGGUAGGGGAGCGUUCUGUAAGCCUGCGAAGGUGUGUCGAGAGGCAUGCUGGAGGUAUCAGAAGUGCGAAUGCUGACAUGAGUAACGACAAUGGGGGUGAAAAACCCCCACGCCGGAAGACCAAGGGUUCCUGCGCAACGCUAAUCGGCGCAGGGUGAGUCGGCCCCUAAGGCGAGACCGAAAGGUGUAGUCGAUGGGAAACGGAUUAAUAUUUCCGUACCUUGGAUAGCUGCGAUGGAGAGACGGAGAAGGCUAGGUGAGCCGGGCGACGGUUGUCCCGGUUUAAGCAUGUAGGCAGUGGGAUUAGGCAAAUCCGGUCCCACAAUGCCGAGACGCGACGACGACUGCCCUUUUAGGGCGGGAAGUCAUUGAUGCCCUGCUUCCAGGAAAAUCUUCUAAGCUUCAGGCUAUUCGAGACCGUACCCCAAACCGACACAGGUGGUCAGGUAGAGAAUACCAAGGCGCUUGAGAGAACUCGGGUAAAGGAACUAGGCAAAAUGGUGCCGUAACUUCGGGAGAAGGCACGCCGGUGGUAUGUGACGCCCUUCGCGGGUUGAGCAGAAGCCGGUCGAAGAUACCAGGCCCCUGCGACUGUUUAUUAAAAACACAGCACUGUGCAAACACGAAAGUGGACGUAUACGGUGUGACGCCUGCCCGGUGCCGGAAGGUUAAUUGAUGGGGUUAGCGCUUGCGCGAAGCUCUUGAUCGAAGCCCCGGUAAACGGCGGCCGUAACUAUAACGGUCCUAAGGUAGCGAAAUUCCUUGUCGGGUAAGUUCCGACCUGCACGAAUGGCGUAACGACGGCCACACUGUCUCCACCCGAGACUCAGUGAAAUUGAAAUUGCGGUUAAGAUGCCGUAUACCCGCGGCUAGACGGAAAGACCCCGUGAACCUUUACUAUAGCUUCACAGUGAACUUUGAAUUGGCUUGUGUAGGAUAGCUGGGAGGCUUUGAAGCGGUGACGCCAGUCAUCGUGGAGCCAACCUUGAAAUACCAGCCUGGUCAAUUUGGGGUUCUAACUCAGGUCCAUUAUCUGGAUCGAGGACACUGUGUGGUGGGUAGUUUGACUGGGGCGGUCUCCUCCCAAAGAGUAACGGAGGAGCACGAAGGUCGGCUAAUCUUGGUCGGACAUCAAGAGGUUAGUGCAAUGGCAUAAGCCGGCUUAACUGCGAG
rnacentral:rRNA from 1 species